UGGUUGUUACCAGGCUUUUAGAAUGCAAUUUCUCAUUUGCUGUGGCAAUAACCAUAAAACCCAUCCCUCUAGGAUUUGCCAUGUACUGCUUUGUUAGUAGGCAACCUUUUAGGAGCACUU